GGAUGCGAUCAUACCAGCACUAAAGCACCGGAUCCCAUCAGAACUCCGAAGAUAAGCGUGCUUGGGCGAGAGUAGUACUAGGAUGGGUGACCUCCUGGGAAGUCCUCGUGUUGCAUUUC
rnacentral:rRNA from 16 species